AGCCAGGUUUCUUUGUGGAAUUAUGCAGGUGUUAUUGUUUGAACUUUAGCCAUGUCUCUUUUCAUUGUCCAACUUUUCCUUCUAUCUGGCUAGAGGAAAAAGACAUUCUUGUCCUGAGAAUCACAAGAAAGGUACAGAGCACAAACCAGGUACAGAGCUGACUUUAUACCUUUAGUACUCAUGAGAAGGAAACUGUCUUAGGACAUUUGCAUUUCUGUAUCAGUAAUCAUGAAGACUGGCAGGAGCACAGCUUCCUAUCAUCCUACUCCCACUUCAGCCAAAUGAGAGCUCUUAAGCUACCUUAAUUGUGGGUCUAAUUCUGCUUCCAGGUCUAUUUUGGACUUCAAAAGGGCUUAAUGAAAAGUAAGUGGUGAGGACAGACACUUAGCAAUGAAGUGAUCUGUAAACUCUUGUACGUGACAAGUAACCAUUGCCACUGGCACAAGCAAAUACAGUCCAAGAGGAAAUUACAAAGUUGGUGGUAGUAGCUGUCUAAAAUUAUAAAGGAAGGAUAACCAGAUGAAAUGCAUAUAAAUACAAACAAUUUGAAUACUCUUGAUUUUAUACUCAAACACACAAUUACAUGUCCUUGGUUAUUUUGUAGCAGACAAGUUGGUGCCAGAGUAGUCACUAAUCUGUUAUAAUAAAUUUUACUUCUAAAAGCUUGUAAUAGCCUCUCACAGUAAAGUGUAGUGGUGAUUUGAAUUUCACUUUGUGUAUUCUGUAGUUAUGAAGAGUAUGUUUCUCUGCUUAUGAACAAAUCUCUAGAAAGGGUGUGAGAUGAAAGUGAUUUGACUGGCAAGGAAGAGGGAGCCCAGUUCAAUGAAACUGUAGGCAUUCCCUAUGUACAGGUUGAUAUGGGAGAUGCUGUGGCUGAAGGAGGAGGAAGCAAAGAUAGUUAAAAAAUUAUUGAGGUUAUUAACAAGGUUGUGGUAACUGCUGUUGUUAACUAAAAUGGAAGUUAAUAGUAGAGUCUGGAUAAGGAGUCCGAAACCACUGAAUAUUACGGUUUUAGAAGUGGAAUAGAUGCAGCCACCAUAAUUUCUAAUGGCUCUAUAGACAGCACCACUGAUUAAUAAGAGCUGUUUUCUUUUUGCUCCAUUUUUUUUUUUUUUAAACAGAAAACUGUAGGAGUUGCAGGCUGUUCUGCUCUAAUAGCCCGGUGCUUGAUCAUUUGUUCCAUUACAGCAUAGUACAGAGUUGAGGAGUGGUUUUAUUGUUUAAGGACCAAUAGUGAUGCAGUAUUCAUCUUCUACCUAACCUAAAUCCCCAUAAAAAUUGGCUAGAUCACUUAAUAUUGAUUUGAGCCCAAUAAAUGUCUGUCAUGUGCCUAAACAAACCAUGUGAAAUUGUGAACAUGAAAGCAACUGCCAUGGUGAGACUUGCUUUCCCAUGGCUUUGUAUCUUGACCACAACACCUUUGGUUGCCUCAGAAGUCUUUUAUGUGAUGGUAAUGCAAUACAUGUAUUUUAUGUCCCAUGCCCUCCGCUCUUUCACUAAACACGCUCUUUCACUUUCACUUUCACUUCUUUUAAGCUCACAAUUCCUUGCAAGGUUGUGCUCUUCUUUCUGUGCUCCCCAUCCCAAUACAGAAGUGCCAGCUGACCACUCUCCUCAGUCUUCAGAUGCUGCAGUAUCUGUAGCCAACUCUCCUGCACCCAGUAAUGCAUCCUGACAUGCAUUACUGCACAAGAGAGCACAUGUGUGUUGUGGUGAUUUAAGUGUCUCCUGGAUCUUGGCUGCUGGUCUCAAGGGUAAGAGUAACUCCCAGGAUGAAGGUUGUACGGGCCUGUAGGCAAUGAGUAGCUGUCAGAUGUGUGGUUCUGCUCAGAUUUGUAGAAAUAGGCCAAGGGAGGCAGGAAGUCCUCAGAUACUACAGAUAGCAUGAGUCUGUAAGCAUGGUGUCCAGGCUAGAAGAGUUUGAAGUAACUGCUUUAUCUUGCUUCUUAAAUAGUAUAUGAGAAGCUUGAGACAAACCAACCUACACCAAAAGCUACUAUGAUCACCAGUCCCUUGGGGGUGAUGUGGAGGGGCAGGCUCCAGCUAGCCUGGGGAGAAAACAGUACCAAUGCUCAGCUGGAGUCUGUAUAAACCUGCAGAGGACUAUGGGUGACAUAUCCUUGUGUGGUUAACCCCCGUCUGCACGCUGUGCAGAAGUAUAUCAACUAGGCAUCCAGGCAGACUAACAAAGAAACUCCGCAGCUUAUAUCCCCCCCCACCCCCCCUCCCUCUGGGAUUCUAUCAGUCAGCUACAAUAUAUUGUAAUAGAUAUUUAGGCUAGCGUUGCCCAAUGUAUUACACUCCAUCACACUGGUGUAAACAUCCAUGCACUUACGUGGAAAGAAACUACCUUAGCUCUCUGAAACAAAAGGCCUUGUGAAGUUGCUAAAAUGCAAUUCUCAGAAAGCAUUAGUUGAAGGCAAAUGUUUGAAAUGAGAUCGUGUCUCCAGUGAAGUCACUAGGAGCUCAGCCAUGAGCUUUGGCAGAGCCAGGACAUCACUCUUUGAAGUGUUUCUCUCGGAGGAGUCAAACAUUAUAAGUCCCUUAAUGCUAACACUGGAGACUUCAGAAAUGAGAUUGAGCAAGAUAUUUGGAUGACUGAUGCUUAUUUUUCUGGAUUAUCUGGGAAUAUCUGGUGGGUGUGCUGAGUUUGAGAAGUUAGGUGGAAGAACCAACAUGCAGACUUUCCUGUUUUAAACAAUUUGAAGUCAGGCUAUAACUUUGCUGCAGAUGGAGCUCUUUGCUAGCCAAGGACUUUCAGCACUUCUUUAUAGUUUAAAUAUUUUUUCUAAAGGGGAUAAUUGCUUCCCUGAAGAUGUACUGCAGUAGUAUGGGAUACACUGCGAGGUACAGCACAAACAUUAGCAAGGAUUUGCUUUUGCUUUAUCCAGCUUACCAGUGGUAAAACCACCAUAUUCAGAGUGAAGUGCCAAAAAACCACCAUACCAGCCUGGACUGUAAAGUCUGUGCUUACUACCACUGAAAUAGAAAUGUUGUUACAUGUUUUGGGUCACUUCCGGAAGGUUCCGAGGGCGCCAUCUUGGGUGAGAUGCUUCCCUCAGCAGCACUCAGGGAAGCACAAAAUGGCACCAGGCAGCAAGGCGUGAGGGGAGAAGGGGUGCUCCAGGCUGCAGCCUGUGAGAAAGACCCACAUGGAGCAGGGCAAGAGUGGGGAGGAAGCAGGCUGAGGGAAGCUGGUGUUCUCACUAGCAAACAUAUUUUCACUGGCCACAUGUUAUUAAGCGUUUUACCCAAGUCUGUUUUGCUGGUGAUGGUGCUUGGAAUCGAGUCUAGUGAAGUGCAGUUCUCAAUCCGAUGAAGAAAUUGUUUCUGAAGUUUGGAUUCCAAUCCUUUCCAAAGGCGUGAACUCCUCUGAGGAGAUAAGAGCAUGCCAGCUGUUCUUCGUGACCCUGAAUAUCUCCCCCGGAAUCGCUACUUGGCUGGAGCUCUCCACACAGGACUCACUGAGCAGCUGAACAGGCGAAUGCCCAACUGAGGGGUAAGCCAGCUAUUUCACUCCUAUAACCUGUGAUGCUGAAAUGAAAAUUCCUUGAAAAUGCCAAUUCUUUUAGACUUUAUUAAAUCCUUGCACAAAAUCAGUAGCAUACUGUACUUUUAAGUAGAAUCCAUUUAUGUCAUAGCUAAAUUUAAAAGUCACCAUUUCAAGUCUGUAUCAUGAUUUACACACAGAGUUCCAGGAGAAUGGGGAAAUCUGCCUUAAGCUGUAAUCAAAACCACAAAAGCAAUGGAAAUCUAGAGUAUUAAUAAUUUUGUGUACAACUUUUUGGUCAGACUUUGCAGGCCAGCACACACAAACUCAGUGGAAAUGAAAGUGAACAAACAUACAUCUGAAAUUAUUUUCACGGGUUUCAAACUAGGCCCUUUUGUGAGUUUCUUCCACUAAAUGACUGUGACUAGGAUUCCACUAGGUGAACCAGCUUUAAUAAGUAAAGUUUUCAUCUUUCCCUAGCCAAAAGA